GACCCCUCACCUGUGGUACAGGACCUGCCACCAUCAGCUGGGAGGCCCUUCCACGGUGUCCCUGGCUCAGGGCAUGGUGCCAGGCUGGAAGCCCGAGAGGAAUCUCUGGCCCAGUUAGCCACUGCGUCCAGCCCCUGCAGACAUGCCCUUGACUCUGCCCACUCUGCCUGCUCUCCUGGACGUAGCCCAGGUUCUGACUCACCUGGAUCACCUUGACAGUCUCCUGUUCCAGCCGCAGCUCACCUGCCACCUGCCCGUGUGGCAUCCCGCAUGGCUCUCUCGCCUCACCCUGAGGCCCCUCCACGCUGCCCACACCACACAGCUCCAGCCCUCUCGCUGGGCCAGGCUCCCAGGCUAGGCUCCGGCCCUGCCAGCCUGCCCAGCCCCAGACAGGACCCUCAUCAGGCCUUCCCACUUUCUCCUUCCUCUCCUGGAAGCACUUUUCCCAGCCUCCCACAUCAGGUUUCCAUUAUUGAGCUAUUUUCUUUAAACAGUGGCCCUGUUACUUCCUCUUCCAUGAGCUCCCAUGUCCCUCCCUCUCCCCUUCAUCACUGAAACACGUCACGGGGUCAUUAUGGUAUUGAUGACCCUCUUACUACUGCACUGUGGUCAGGGAGCAGCUGGGAUUGGGAGACCAGGGAGAUGCACCCAAGUAUUCCUCAGGAGUGUGUUGACCUGGGAACAUUGGUCGUCAUGGUGACAUGGGAGGAGACGAAAUCAGGCAGAGAGCCUCUUGAUUGGUGGAACUGGGCAACGGCAAAUCCCAGAGAGACGCGCUGACACUGUCACGCUGUGGAAAACUCUCCACCCAGCGUACCUCUGAGGCCAGCACCCAAACUGCAGCUCUUCAGCAAGCUGGGACAGGAUGUUCCACGUGAACGUGACACGGGAGGACUUCCACACGACGAAGAACAGUUCGAAGGUGGACUUUCAGAAGCAUAAUGGGUGAGGGGGACUCAAGGCUAACCCUGGGGGAAGAGCUGGCCCAUCCUCUGCACCCCAAGGGCUUUGAUGGAGAGUGAGGGAGCUCAGAGUGGGGUGAGAACUCAGGCAUUGACCUGAUGGGCAGCCUCAACACCUUUGAGCAGACCCGUCAGCACCAGCAAGGCCACAUCUGCUCUCUGGUGUGUAAGUGAAUAUCAUAAUCUGUCCCUUCCAGGAAACUUGGGCCACGGGGAAGAGUGGGCUGCACGUGGCUGCCUAAAUACCGUGCUUCACACCUGUCCAUAGAAAAGGCUCAGAUCAUCGUUCUAGAACAGUGGUGGGCAAAUAUUCUCGGUCAAGGGCCCAAGAGUUGGCGUUUUGUGCUUUGUGGGCCAUGUGACCUCUGCUGUAGUACUCAGCUUUGCAGCAAGAAAGCACCAGAGAUGGCGUGUACAUGACCCAGCCUGGCCGCGGCCCUCGAGAUCACCCGGGGUGCCGAAACCUGAACUCCACUUGAUUUCCACAUAGUUCACAAUAUUAUCCAUCUUUGGUUCUUUUCACCAAUUAAAUGUAAAAUCAUCAUCAGCUCACAGGCCACACACAACCUGUGGUGCCUGGAUUGGCCCCCAAAGCACUCCAAGGAGAAUCACUCUGGACCAUUAAGAGUUGGAUAAGAAC
rnacentral:lncRNA from 1 species